rnacentral:rRNA from 1 species
ACGGAGGAUCCAAGCGUUUUCCGGAAUUACUGGGCGUAAAGAGUUGCGUAGGUGGCAUAGUAAGCGAGUAGUGAAAGCGUGUGGCCCAACCAUACAUCCAUUACUUGAACUGCUAAGCUAGAGUAUGAGAGAGGUAGAUGGAAUUCCCAGUGUAGGAGUGAAAUCCGUAGAUAUUGGGAGGAACACCGAUGGCGUAGGCAGUCUACUGGCUCAUUACUGACACUAAGGCACGAAAGCGUGGGGAGCAAACGGGA